rnacentral:rRNA from 1 species
GAAAACCACGGUGGUACAGGAUGGGCCCGCGUCUGAUUAGUUAGUUGGCAGGGUAACGGCCUACCAAGACGAUGAUCAGUAGCCGGCUUGAGAGAGUGGACGGCCACAUUGGGACUGAGACACGGCCCAGACUCCUGCGGGAGGCAGCAGUGGGGAAUAUUGCACAAUGGGGGGAACCCUGAUGCAGCAAUGCCGCGUGGGUGAAGAAGCACUCCGGUGCGUAAAGCCCUGUCAGCAGGGAAGAAAAUGACAGUACCUGACCAAGAAGCCCCGGCUAACUACGUGCCAGCAGCCGCGGUAAUACGUAGGGGGCAAGCGUUAUCCGGAUUUACUGGGUGUAAAGGGAGCGCAGGCGGUAUGGCAAGUCAGAUGUGAAAACCCAGGGCUCAACCCUGGGACUGCAUUUGAAACUGCCAUACUGGAGUGCCGGAGAGGUAAGCGGAAUUCCUAGUGUAGCGGUGAAAUGCGUAGAUAUUAGGAGGAACACCAGUGGCGAAGGCGGCUUACUGGACGGUAACUGACGCUGAGGCUCGAAAGCGUGGGGAGCAAACAGGAUUAGAUACCCUGGUAGUCCACGCUGUAAACGAUGAAUACUAGGUGUCGGGGUACAUAAGUACCUCG